rnacentral:tRNA from 1 species
GGCUCCAUAGUGUAGUGGUUAGCACGUCUGCUUUACAAGCAGAAGGUCUUGGGUUCGCUCCCUAGGUGGAGCCA